CUGUAAGCCUGUGAAGGUGAGUUGAGAAGCUUGCUGGAGGUAUCAGAAGUGCGAAUGCUGACAUGAGUAACGACAAUGGGUGUGAAAAACACCCACGCCGAAAGACCAAGGGUUCCUGCGCAACGUUAAUCGACGCAGGGUUAGUCGGUUCCUAAGGCGAGGCUGAAAAGCGUAGUCGAUGGGAAACAGGUUAAUAUUCCUGUACUUCUGGUUACUGCGAUGGAGGGACGGAGAAGGCUAGGCCAGCUUGGCGUUGGUUGUCCAAGUUUAAGGUGGUAGGCUGAAAUCUUAGGUAAAUCCGGGGUUUCAAGGCCGAGAGCUGAUGACGAGUCGUCUUUUAGAUGACGAAGUGGUUGAUGCCAUGCUUCCAAGAAAAGCUUCUAAGCUUCAGGUAACCAGGAACCGUACCCCAAACCGACACAGGUGGUCGGGUAGAGAAUACCAAGGCGCUUGAGAGAACUCGGGUGAAGGAACUAGGCAAAAUGGCACCGUAACUUCGGGAGAAGGUGCGCCGGCUAGGGUGAAGGAUUUACUCCGUAAGCCCUGGCUGGUCGAAGAUACCAGGCCGCUGCGACUGUUUAUUAAAAACACAGCACUCUGCAAACACGAAAGUGGACGUAUAGGGUGUGACGCCUGCCCGGUGCCGGAAGGUUAAUUGAUGGGGUUAGCGCAAGCGAAGCUCUUGAUCGAAGCCCCGGUAAACGGCGGCCGUAACUAUAACGGUCCUAAGGUAGCGAAAUUCCUUGUCGGGUAAGUUCCGACCUGCACGAAUGGCGUAACGAUGGCGGCGCUGUCUCCACCCGAGACUCAGUGAAAUUGAAAUCGCUGUGAAGAUGCAGUGUAUCCGCGGCUAGACGGAAAGACCCCGUGAACCUUUACUGUAGCUUUGCACUGGACUUUGAGCCUGCUUGUGUAGGAUAGGUGGGAGGCUUUGAAGCGUGGACGCCAGUUCGCGUGGAGCCAUCCUUGAAAUACCACCCUGGCAUGCUUGAGGUUCUAACUCUGGUCCGUGAUCCGGAUCGAGGACAGUGUAUGGUGGGCAGUUUGACUGGGGCGGUCUCCUCCUAAAGAGUAACGGAGGAGUACGAAGG
rnacentral:rRNA from 1 species